CUUUGGGAGGGACCUGCGUCCCAUCAGCUAGUUGGUGAGGUAAUGGCUCACCAAGGCGACGACGGGUAGGGGACCUGAGAGGGUGACCCCCCACAAUGGAACUGAAACACGGUCCAUACACCUACGGGUGGAAGCAGUAGGGAAUAUUGCUCAAUGGGCGAAAGCCUGAAGCAGCAACGCCGCGUGUGCGAUGAAGGCCUUCGGGUCGUAAAGCACUUUUCUGCGAGAUGAGAAAGGACAGUAUCGUAGGAAUAAGUCUCGGCUAACUACGUGCCAGCAGCCGCGGUAAAACGUAGGAGGCAAGCGUUAUCCGGAUUCACUGGGCGUAAAGCGCGUGCAGGCGGUUCGGUAAGUUGGGCGUGAAAUCUCCUGGCUUAACUAGGGGAGGUCGUCCAAUACUACCGGGCUUGAGAGUGGUAGAGGAAGAUGGAAUUCCCGGUGUAGUGGUGAAAUGCGUAGAUAUCGGGAGGAACACCAGUGGCGAAAGCGAUCUUCUGGACCAUUUCUGACGCUCAGACGCGAUAGCUAGGGUAGUAAACGGGAUUAGAGACCCCGGUAAUCCUAGCCGUAAACGAUGAUUACUAGGUGUGAGUGGUUCAAGCCCACUCGUGCCGAAGCAACGCGAUAAGUAACCGCCUGGGGACACGAUCGCAGAUUAAACUCAAAGGAUUGACGGGGGCCGCAAAGCAGCGGACGUGUGGUUAAUCUAGGCACGCGAGAACUUACCAGGUUGACUGUAGGUAGUAGGAAGUGAAACGGACGAUCUAUCGGGAGCCUCACAGGUGAGCAUGGUGUCGUAGCUCUUGCGUGAGGGGUUGGUUAAUCCAGAACGAGCGCACCUUUAGGGCAGUACAAUUUCUGGCCGACUGCGGCUUAACCGGAGAAGGGGGGAUGAUUCAAGCAGAUGCCUUUAUCUGGGCU
rnacentral:rRNA from 1 species